rnacentral:rRNA from 1 species
CAGCACCUCAAGUGGUCAGGAUGAUUAUUGGGCCUAAAGCAUCCGUAGCUUGCUUUGUUAGUUUUCGGUUAAAUCCAUACGCUCAACGUACAGGCUGCCGGGAAUACUGCAGAGCUAGGGAGUGGGAGAGGUAGACGGUACUCGGUAGGAAGGGGUAAAAUCCUUUGAUCUAUUGAUGACCACCUGUGGCGAAGGCGGUCUACCAGAACACGUCCGACGGUGAGGGAUGAAAGCUGGGGGAGCAAACCGGAUUAGAUACCCGAGUAGUCC